UUACAGCACCCUCAGCUGGCUAUCUUAAAACACUGCACUUGUCGUGGUCUGAAUUCAACCGUGCAUGAACAUGAACAGGGCAGAGGAGGAUAUAGUGCAUUCGAUUUACAGCAACAGGACAAUCAAACGUCGGGCUUUAUGUGUAUAUUAAAUUUAUUUUCUGAAGGGGACAGAUACUGGCCUCCUACGGGUGCUCAGUCUUCAUCAGCCCCUCAGAGUGAGCAUUACUGCUUCACUUCAUCAUCAUGCUGCACCACUGAAGAAAGGCGAGGUCAGUGUCAGUGUGAAGAACCUUGUUGACUGCACCGGUGGUGGCGGGGGGAGGGAAGGAGCAUAAAGCUCAGGAAGAUGGCAUCACCCUUUGUGCCUGUCCCUGUGCCGAUGGACAGAGCUUUGUCAGGAGGUAGCAGCAAGCUCAGGCGGCCACAGCGAGCUUCAUCACUAGGCAGCGUCUCUAGCUUCUCGACUGGGCAGGACCACGGAAGAGGAUGUGGAGGAUUAGGUACCCAGCACCAAUCCCGCUGCGUGGACAGAGGUAGCCGGAGCAGGACACCACCACCCCCCCAGAGCCCUGUGACCCGGGCCAGGGUGAACGGGACUCUGGAGCCCUCCGUGGAGUACUCUAGCUGUCCCCGCUCCAUAUCAGAUCCUGCUGGGAGCCAGCAAGGCGAGGAGAGGCCUAUUACCCCCACUGUGCUGGGGUAUGAAGUCAUGGAGGAGAGGGCCAAGUUCACGGUAUUUAAGGUCCUGGUCAGAAAGACUCCAGAUGAGAGCUGGGUUGUUUUUAGAAGGUACACAGACUUCUCCAGACUCAACGACAAGCUGAAGGAGAUGUUCCCAGGCUUCCGCCUCUCGCUGCCUCCUAAGCGGUGGUUCAAAGACAACUAUGACACCGACUUCCUGGAAGACAGACAGUUGGGACUCCAGGCCUUUUUGCAAAACCUUGUUGCACACAAGGACAUUGCCAGCUGCCUGGCAGUGAGAGAGUUUCUGUGUCUGGAUGACCCCCCUGGGCCUUUUGAUAGUCUGGAGGAGAGCAGAGCGUUCUGUGAGACUUUGGAGGAGAGCAAUUACCGUCUCCAGAAGGAGCUGCUGGAGAAGCAGAAGGAGAUCGCCUCCCUGAAGAGGAGGCUGGAGGAGAGGGAGCAAGCCAUCCUGCUACUGGAGAAGCAUAUCAAUCUCCAGUGGCGAGUGUGUGAGCCCGGAGUCUGUGUGUGAUCUGUCAGCUCAGGGCAGUGAGAGCAGUACAGAUGCAGAUGUGGAGUCGUCUGCUGCAGAGGCUGAUCAGGAUGUGCCUGAGGACACUGGCAGUGCUGCCCCGAACUGAAAAAAGAGCCCCAUAACAUUGGCAGGUGUGCGGUCCAACCGGUGCGAUCCUCUGCCUGUUGGUGUGGACCAUCACUCAGCAGCUCUCCUCCGCUCAUCCAGGUCACUCCGCUUUACCACCAGAAGCUGGAACAAUAACAAGAAACACUGGUCCUCCUUUUCCCCUUUUCUCUUCCAUCUCCUCCUCCCCUGCCAGACCACUGCACCUUCCUUAUGUUAGAGUGCCAUUUUUUUUUUUUUUCUGCCUUUUCUUUGACCUUAGCAUUCCCUGCUCCCACCACAACUCCCAUUUUCCCUUUCCAUCUUCCAGACUGUAGCCGCUGUUUCACCUUCCAGUCUUGCAGUUGGAUCUGAAGCAGGCUUUAUCUCUAGAUCUGCGUAUAAGUUAGAAGGGAACAGUUUUAUACUGCAACAGCCGGUCUGCUCAUAUUUCUGGCCCAUGCAAACACUUCAUUCUGAAGACCUCACGCAACUUGUGCAAGAUAUGAACUAUAUCUGGAAUUACAUGGCUACACUUUUUAAAACCUUAAACCAAGUUGAUCUGUCUUAAACGGUGUGGGGAUUUCUCAGUCCUCCUUGUUCACUUUUGAACCUUGUACCGCGGCCGCCUGAUUGAAUCGAUUUGAUCCUGCGGUCACAAAGCCAAAGUUUGGCUUCUUGACCAAAAAUAUAACAUAACUUGAAGACAUUCACAAUUGUGACAAUCUAAAGAAAACCCGAACCAUCACUUCCUGCAGACGUGCAUUGCCUCAUGGCUCAUUACUUGUGACAGAUUUAGAGAAACCACACUCUCAUGUGGCAAUAGAAAUGUAAAAAUAAAAGUCUGGAUGAAAAAAAAAAAAAAAAUCUGUCUCAGGAUACACAUUGGUGGGUAUCACAAUGGUUUGAUAACUUUCUAUUUUUAACUACUUCCAUGGCAUUGCUUUUGACUCUCAUUGAGGCUACAGAGACAGACCUCAAGAAACGUAAUUGUUUUCACCUUCAGUCACACUUAGUUUGUAUCUCAUAGCCUAGAUUUCCUUAUGUUUUAGUGCCAUGUGUGUUUUUUGGUAAACUAAAUUCCUGUGAGAGACCAUACAAUCUGUAAUGCACUCUAAGAGAGAGCAAAGGAAAUGUGGCCUAUUGUUGCUGUUUGAGGAAUGUGAUAUGUCAUUUCCUGACACAUGCAUCAGUUUGCUUUUAGACAUUAACUAUGCCAAUUAAAGUAAAGUCCAUACAUUUAUACAGCCUUAAACCUCUUCUGGCACCUUGCCUGUUAAUAGAGUGGAGACUGGGCCUGCACUUCUACUUCUGUCAGUUUCCUCAAGGUCUACCUAAAUACUGUAAUGUGGGUAUAAUUAAAGGACCAGAUCACCCAUUUUACAAAAUGAACAAAACAUUUUUCUACUUAA